rnacentral:ribozyme from 13 species
UUUUUUCAAUUUUUUUUUUUGUUUGUUUAUGUUCUUGUUUCUUUUUUUUUUAUAUUCUUGUUUUUCUUUCUUCAAAAAAGGGGAGAUGAAAGAGUUGUUUGGGAUAAUG